AGUGGGAUUACUGGGUUGAAUGGUGGUUCCAUUCCAAGUUUUCUGAGGAAUCUCCAUACUACUUUCCAAAGUGGUUGCACUAAUUUCCAGUCCCACCAGCAAU
rnacentral:pre_miRNA from 1 species